rnacentral:rRNA from 1 species
AACGAACGCUGGCGGCAUGCCUAACACAUGCAAGUCGAACGAGACCUUCGGGUCUAGUGGCGCACGGGUGCGUAACGCGUGGGAACCUGCCCUUAGGUUCGGAAUAACUCCCCGAAAGGGGUGCUAAUACCGGAUAAUGUCUUCGGACCAAGGAUUUAUCGCCUUUGGAUGGGCCCGCGUUGGAUUAGCUAGUUGGUAGGGUAAAAGCCUACCAAGGCGACGAUCCAUAGCUGGUCUGAGAGGAUGAUCAGCCACACUGGGACUGAGACACGGCCCAGAAUCCUACGGGAGGCAGCAGUGGGGAAUAGUGGACAAUGGGCGAAAGCCUGAUCCAGCAAUGCCGCGUGAGUGAUGAAGGCCUUAGGGUUGUAAAGCUCUUUUAACCGGGAUGAUAAUGACAGUACCGGGAGAAUAAGCUCCGGCUAACUCCGUG